rnacentral:rRNA from 1 species
AAAUGAAUUGACGGGGGCCCGCACAAGCAGUGGAGUAUGUGGUUUAAUUCGAAGCAACGCGAAGAACCUUACCAGGGCUUGACAUCCCUCGAAUUGCGUGGAAACGCGCAAGUCCUACGGGACGGGGAGACAGGUGGUGCAUGGUUGUCGUCAGCUCGUGUCGUGAGAUGUUGGGUUAAGUCCCGCAACGAGCGCAACCCUUGUUGUUAGUUGCCAGCACGUAGAGGUGGGCACUCUAACGAGACUGCCGGUGACAAAUCGGAGGAAGGUGGGGACGACGUCAAAUCAUCAUGCCCUUUAUGUUCUGGGCUACACACGUACUACAAUGGCUACAACAGAGGGCAGCUAAGCCGCGAGGCGGAGCGAAUCCCAGAAAAGUAGUCUCAGUUCGGAUUGCGGGCUGCAACUCGCCCGCAUGAAGUCGGAAUUGCUAGUAAUGGCAGGUCAGCAUACUGCCGUGAAUACGUUCCCGGGCCUUGUACACACCGCCCGU